rnacentral:rRNA from 1 species
GACGAACGCUGGCGGCGUGCUUAACACAUGCAAGUCGAACGAAGUGGCGAACGGGUGAGUAAUACGUGGGUAACCUGCCCUCCUUUUUGGGAUAAGCCUUGGAAACGGGGUCUAUUACCGAACAAAGGGGGAUGGGCUCGCGGCCUAUCAGCUUGUUGGUGGGGUGUUGGCCUACCAAGGCGGUGACGGGUAGCCGGGCUGAGAGGGUGACCGGCGACAUUGAGACUGAGAUACGGCCCAGACUCCUACGGGGUGGAGCAGUGGGGGAUAUGGCAGAAAGGGCGAAAGAGUGAUGCAGCGAGGGCGCGUGGGGGAUGAAGGCUGUCGGGUUGUAAAGCUCUUUCGCAAUCGAAAGGGUAGGUGGAGAAGAAGCGCCGGCUAACUACGUGCCAGCCGCCGCGGUAAUUC